CAUAAUGGUGUCAAGAAAAAGAAAACCAAAUCUGUCAUUUCCAACUGCAUGUAAAAAAUUGUUGAGAAGAAAUCUGACAGAUGUAUAGUGUUUAAGAACUGCACAGGGCAGGAUAACUAUGUUGCAUCACAAAAUCAAAUUGAAAAGAUUUUAGGUGAUCGUACACUAAGAAUAUAUUAUUAUCUCACUGGAGAAUGGAAAGUCAACGUGUGUGGGGAAAACACUGGCAAUAUCAUAAAUGCUCCUCUGCUUGACAGAUGCCUGCAAAAUUCCAUCACACCUUUGCAUGGACCUGUUUGGGUCUUUAAGAGAGAAGGUUUCAGCCUCUCAGGAGCAAAGAUAAAUAUCCCAGGACUUCUAUUGGCCCUGCACCAAUGAUUGAAGUCUGCAAACUGUUGCAAACAGGAACGCUGGAAUGAUUCUGAAUUGAGUUGUGGUACAGAGCUGCUGAGCUGCUGGUCAGUCAUUUACAGUUGGAAUCAGUGGUGGCACAUCUGUAGAUGAACAUAAAUGAAAGUACAUAGAAAAGGUACUCUACAUCUUCACUAGG